rnacentral:rRNA from 1 species
UACCAACGACUCUCGGCAACGGAUAUCUCGGCUCUCGCAUCGAUGAAGAACGUAGCGAAAUGCGAUACUUGGUGUGAAUUGCAGAAUCCCGUGAACCAUCGAGUCUUUGAACGCAAGUUGCGCCCAAAGCCAUUAGGCUGAGGGCACGUCUGCCUGGGUGUCACGCA